GUCCACGCCGUAAACGAUGGAUGCUAGCCGUUGGCGGGUUUACUCGUCAGUGGCGCAGCUAACGCAUUAAGCAUCCCGCCUGGGGAGUACGGUCGCAAGAUUAAAACUCAAAGGAAUUGACGGGGGCCCGCACAAGCGGUGGAGCAUGUGGUUCAAUUAGAAGCAACGCGAAGAACCUUACCAACCUUUGACAUGUCCCGUAUGGGUUCCAGAGAUGGGAUCCUUCAGUUCGGCUGGCGGGAACACAGGUGCUGCAUGGCUGUCGU
rnacentral:rRNA from 1 species